rnacentral:rRNA from 1 species
AUACGGAGGGUCCGAGCGUUAAUCGGAAUUACUGGGCGUAAAGCGCGCGUAGGCGGCUAUAUAAGUCAGAUGUGAAAUCCCUGGGCUCAACCUAGGAACUGCAUUUGAAACUGUAUGGCUAGAGUAUGCUAGAGGUGAGUGGAAUUUCAGGUGUAGCGGUGAAAUGCGUAGAGAUCUGAAGGAACAUCAGUGGCGAAGGCGACUCACUGGGCCAUUACUGACGCUGAGGUGCGAAAGCGUGGGUAGCAAACAGGAUUAGAUACCCCAGUAGUCC